UACGUAGGUGGCAAGCGUUGUCCGGAAUUAUUGGGCGUAAAGCGCGCGCAGGCGGUUAUGUAAGUCUGAAGUUAAAGCCCGGGGCUCAACCUUGGUUCGCAUUGGAAACUGCGUAACUUGAGUGCAGAAGAGGAAAGUGGUAUUCCACGUGUAGGGGUGAAAUGCGUAGAUAUGUGGAGGAACACCAGUGGCGAAGGCGACUUUCUGGUCUGUAACUGACGCUGAGGCGCGAAAGCGUGGGGAGCAAACAGG
rnacentral:rRNA from 1 species